AUUUUGCAGCAGCCAAGAGUUUGUUGAAGAAACCGGAUGGGGUAAAGGAGUCAACUGAGAGCUCAAAUACCACCAUUGAGGAUGAAGACGUGAAAGCACGAAAGCAAGAGAUCAUCAAAGUCACUGAGCAGCUGAUUGAAGCUAUCAACAAUGGGGACUUCGAGGCUUACACGAAAAUCUGUGAUCCAGGCCUCACUGCCUUUGAACCCGAAGCAUUGGGCAACUUAGUGGAAGGGAUGGACUUUCACAGAUUCUACUUUGAAAAUGCUUUGCCCAAAAUCAAUAAACCAAUCCACACUAUCAUCCUGAACCCUCACGUACACCUGGUAGG
rnacentral:lncRNA from 1 species